CAGUAGCCGCGGGAAAACGGAGGGUGCAAGCGUUAAUCGGAAUUACUGGGCGUAAAGCGUGCGCAGGCGGUUCGUUAAGUCUGUUGUGAAAGCCCCGGGCUCAACCUGGGAAUGGCAAUGGAUACUGGCGAGCUAGAGUGUGUCAGAGGAUGGUGGAAUUCCCGGUGUAGCGGUGAAAUGCGUAGAGAUCGGGAGGAACAUCAGUGGCGAAGGCGGCCAUCUGGGACAACACUGACGCUGAGGCACGAAAGCGUGGGGAGCAAACAGGAUUAGAUACCCGGGUAUCCCUGUCUCUUAUACA
rnacentral:rRNA from 1 species